rnacentral:lncRNA from 1 species
GUGGAAACAGAAUGACUUGGAUCAGUAGAAAUAGAAGAACCUUUUUUGUCCAGUCUGAUACCUGGCGAUGCAGGGAAGGAAAGCCUAGAGGGAAGAAAGUGGAGAGUUGAUACUGAGUGACUCCAUGAGAGGAAUUACCAAACCUGGCACUUCUCCAAGAGUUUGAACAGCACCGGCAGUUAGCCAAAUCCAAUAACGUUAGGGAAGAUGUUCAGCUGGGUCCGUCUGAGAUCCACACUGACGCUGGGCCUGGGAUGGCCAUCUCUGGGAUGUGCAGUGGGGAAGCACUGUUAUGGCCAGGAGCUCCUUCCCCACUGGAUAAACGUGAAGGUGUCCUGUGACUUGCUGUGACUGAAGAGGCUGCCCAGUGAUGAGCUGUUCUGCCUGGAGCAUCCUUGCCUGACCAGCGCGUCUGCAGAACAUGAAUCACCAGCGGAGAUGGCCGCAGGCCAACCUCCCCUGUUACUGUGGUCCUGACCAGCUGGGUCACAUGGCUUGAAGCUGUGCUGCAGGGAGUGCUUCAACUGUCUCUGCUGUCCACCCUAGUUAGCAUCAGCCAAGACGGCUCGAGCUUCCCCAUGGCCCCGUCCUUGCUGAUCCCGACACCUGGUACUGGGAGCUGAGCCCGCCUGGCUGCAGCAUCACCUGGCAGUAUUAGGGAUUCUGCUUGCUUAUCCAUGUUGACUGUAGUUUCUGGGAGCCACUGACAAAUUGCCUCAGGAAGCCAAAUAGUUUAUCUAGGGCAGCUCCAGUCUGGCUGCUUAAAUAAAUGGUUGGACUAUCUUAAAUUUGGUCUAGAU